rnacentral:rRNA from 1 species
UACAGAGGUCCCAAGCGUUGUUCGGAAUUACUGGGGCGUAAAGCGUCCGUAGGCGGAUCUGUAAGUGGAUAGUUAAAUCCCCGGGGGCUCAACCCCGGUGGGUGCUACCCAGACUGCAGGUCUGGAGGUCGGCAGAGGGUGAUGGAAUUCCCGGUGUAGCGGUGAAAUGCGUAGAUAUCGGGGAGGAACACCAGUGGCGUAAGCGAUCACCUGGGCUAGACCUGACGCUGAGGGACGAAGGCGGUGGGGGAGCAAACGGG